AACUAUUACAGUCGAUGAGGAUAGGUUAUAGUUAAUUCAUCCGUUGAAGUAUCUGGCUGUAUGGUUCUUGGCAUGAGUCCUUGUGGCUUUUUGUUGAGGGCUUUGGCGGGCGCUGUGGAUUGCACCGUGGCCUUUCACCACCUUAUAGCGGUGUUUAUAAUGUACAACUGAGGCUG
rnacentral:snoRNA from 1 species